UUCAUCCUAAAAUAAAAGGCAGCCCAAAAAGUUUCUGGAGAGUGACUGAGCUGGGCUUUAUGAUUAUCUUGAUGGACUGAACACAGGGAGGUCAGGGUAGUUGAGCAUUAAUGGGACCCUAAAUAAGGGUAAAAAUGGAAAAAAGCAAAAGAAGACUCAUUUCAAAGAGAACUGACAGGACACAAGCAAAUUAGGAUGUUGGGGCUAGUGGUGGUGUGUGAAGAACAAGGAAUCAAGUGGAGGGGCUGUCAUGAACAGAGGCUGCAGGAUUUGUUCUUUCUUCAAAGAUUUUCCAUGGACUCUCCUCAUCAGUUUGGUAUUCUAAGUGAGCGUGGACUCUCCCCGUGAGCAAAGUGCCACAAUGUCGAUCGCAAGCUUUGAAGACAGGUGAACCUGAAUUUGACCUUACCGGGCA
rnacentral:lncRNA from 10 species